AGAGUACCUUAAAUGAAAUACUCACAGAUUAUUACUAUUUCUUAUACUUACAGGUAAGGUUUACAAGAUCUAAGGGAUUUCCUCUUUCAUCAACACCUGAUUUUGUUUUUUGAAGAUGGAGAGAAAGCCUGUUUGCAGAAAGAGAGAAUAAAGCCUUGCAGAAUUCAGGACAAUGGGGAGUGAGAGAAGAGACCCUACUUCCUGGUCCCUGCAGUUAACCAGUACCCUUCUGGCUUUGGAGCUGCAGCAAUGAGGCUUCCUGAGACUAUCAGGAGUACUUA
rnacentral:lncRNA from 1 species